GCCUUCGUGGUGUAAUGGUUAGCACACUGAGCCGGUAUUUCAGAGGUCCGUGGUUCGAUUCCCGGCGAAGGCC
rfam:Stegodyphus mimosarum contig11432, whole genome shotgun sequence.